UUGAGAGAACAACAUAAAAUGACGGAUGGUUGUGAAUGUGUGAAUGUGUCCCUUUCCUCGCCCCACCCCAUGUUGGCGGGCGAUUGACCGUAGCUCGGUGCGAUCAGCACUAAGGAACAAUGAACUCGGAAGCAAAGGGUCCCUUGGCGUGCGCAAGGAGAGCCCAAUGCGUCGGAGAUUCCUCGGAAUCAAAUGACUCUCGGCAAUGGAUAUCUCGGCUCUUGCAUCGAUGAAGAACGUAGUGAAAUGCGAUACUUGGUGUGAAUUGCAGAAUCUCGUGAACCAUUGAGUCUUUGAACGCAAGUUGUGCCCGAGGCCUUGUGGUCGAGGGCACGCCUGCUUGGGUGUCAUGGCAUCGUCGCCUUUGCUCCACGCAUGCGUUGCUGGUGCCGACUACUGAAAUUGUUGCCCUGUGGCGUCCUCCACCAUCGGCCGACGAAUAGUAAGAAGUCAAUCAUCGGCCGCCAUGAAUGUUGUUCGCCGUCAUGAGCAACAAAACAACGUCCUCCUCGUUUUUAUAAGAUUACUCCUCAAAACCUCCUGGAUUAUUGCGUCGGCCGAAAAAACCGCGUCGUUCAUCUACUU
rnacentral:rRNA from 1 species